GAUGAACGCUGGCGGCGUGCUUAACACAUGCAAGUCGAACGGAAAGGCUCCUGCUUGCAGGGGUACUCGAGUGGCGAACGGGUGAGUAACACGUGGGUGAUCUGCCCUGCACUUCGGGAUAAGCCUGGGAAACUGGGUCUAAUACCGGAUAGGACGAUGGUUUGGAUGCCAUUGUGGAAAGUUUUUCGGUGUGGGAUGAGCUCGCGGCCUAUCAGCUUGUUGGUGGGGUAAUGGCCUACCAAGGCGUCGACGGGUAGCCGGCCUGAGAGGGUGUACGGCCACAUUGGGACUGAGAUACGGUCCAGACUCCUACGGGAGGCAGCAGUGGGGAAUAUUGCACAAUGGGCGCAAGCCUGAUGCAGCGACGCCGCGUGGGGGAUGACGGCCUUCGGGUUGUAAACUCCUUUCGCUAGGGACGAAGCGCAAGUGACGGUACCUGGAGAAGAAGCACCGGCUAACUACGUG
rnacentral:rRNA from 1 species